GCAUAUGUAAGAUACAUCUCACUAGUCUGACACGGUGUUUGUGAAAGAUUAAUGCUGUGCAUCACAUUAAGGACAUUUCUCAGUCUUCUGUAGAGUUAUAUGUAAUCAUUUCAGUAAUUUGCGAACUGGGCACAUGAUAGCCCUCUGAUGGCAGCUUUGCAGAGGAGUGGGGAAGCAUGCAAAAUACACUUAGUGGCAGAAACAGUGAACUCAUUUAUAAUGUUUUACAACUGCAGCAAUUGCAGGACUGGUAUUAUAUUUGGUUUCUCUCGUUCUGCAGCUUUCCAUUUUAACUUCCUAUUUUAAAGGACUGAUAACUCAGGUAUAAAAAUUCACUCUAUGCUGAAAUUUAAUGCAUGGAUUCCUAUAUAAUUUUAUAGAGAGAGGGCCUAAAUCUGUCUCGAUGCUGAACUAGAUUAGAGUAGAUCACUGGUAAAUUCUGUCUUAAUAUUGUUUGUCUAACAGCCAGAACUAUGUGCUUGGAAGGAAGUGUACACCGCCCUGCCCCCCAAAUUAGAACGUGCUGAAUAACAACAAUUCAUGAAAAACAUUCAGGGGGAUGAGGGGAAAGGCCAAAACUCAACAAUAUUCAAAACCAAGCAAACAAAAAAAAAGUCUCACCCAUAAUGGGCAAUUCUGUAAUCACUUGCCCAUGGGAGAAGAUUCUAGUCACUUCCAAUUAGUGGUGGGACACUAACUUCCUCUGAUCCGUGUAUGUGAGACACAUUUAAAAAAAGAUUUCUAAAACGUGUACAGAACAGUCACUGAAGUCUGAAAGAAGAGGGAGAAAGUAAAGCAGAAUCUCUUUCAGCUUCUUUCAAAUAAUAAUUAAAAAUCCACUGUCCACCAAACAUACAGUAUAGUCAAUGGCAGUGCACUGGGUGAAAUCUGACCUGAAGCUCGAACUACUCCAUGUUCAUUCAGUCUUUUGUGUCUCCAGUGAAACCGCCGGCAUGGGUGCCAGUUGGGAUGUGAACUCCUGUCCGCUGAAGAGCUAGCCUGACCCCUUCAAACGUACAGGACGCAGAACAGCUGUCAUGGUUUUAAUCGGACUGACUUGAUUUGGAUUUUAGGUGACAUGGAGCCGAUACCACGCGGAAUCUGUGACGUUUCCAAGGACACUGCAAAACGGGACAAGAAGUGAUCUAGGAGCAGAAAUGUACCAUCCACCAGUUCUAUUAAUUUCCAAGCUCGCUAAAAACGGAAUAUGUCUCCCAGGAUUCCUGGACGUGGCCAACUCAGCACCCUCUCUUGCAGUGUGUGAAGUAAGUCUACAUGCUGCUGGACCAGGUAUCGUAAAGAACUGGGGAAAAAACUAAAGAGGGAAG